rnacentral:lncRNA from 1 species
AGAAGUAGCAGAACAGAUGAACGAAUGCUUCCCGAAGGGAGGAACCUCUAAAGUUCCUCAGCCCUAAUGUAACAGAAAGAGCACCCAGGGGUUACUUGGGAGGGUCCAAUUGUCCAGCAAGGGCACCCGAGUUUCAGCAAUAGAGACGGGAAAGUAGAGACAAGACCCCGACCGCGCCCCAGGCCCGCAUCCCCAGUGGGAGUGGAAGCUCCACCACCCACCCCCAGCCCCAGCUCCUACAAUAGGAGAGGGGAGGCCGGUACCUACAGUGGUUUGAGCCAUUCCAAAGCGGAGUCCGGAGCGGGGUGGAGUAGGGACCAGGGGCGGGGAGCCCUUUCUCCGGGAGCAAACAGGCCCGGUUCUGGUUAUAAAAAUCCACCACCAGGAAGGGAUUGGGGGUGGGGGUGAGCCCCCCCACUUCCACACUCUCGUACAUCUUCCCCGCGAAGACAAGAGGUCCGGGCGGGGAAGUCCUGCGCGUCGCCUCUCUCACUCAGCCGGCGGCGCCAUCCUCGGAGAGCAGCUGGGGGCGAGGGGCACGUCCCCCUCGCCCCGACCGGCGACCCGGGCCGGGGGCCGCCCGUCGCCCGAAGUCCUGCGUCUAAGUCGGCUGGCGGCUCCACCAGUCCCAGGUGAACAGCGGGGAAGUUGUGUGCGGGGGCCAAGGGGGGUGUCCCUUGGCUCCCCCCGGGAACGCCCGGCGGAGGCCCGGGAACUCAGCGGCUCCACCUCGAGGGGGCUCCCGUCUCGAGUCGCAUGCUGUCCUAGGCAGAGUCCCGCGGCUCCCCAAGUGCGCCGGCCGGGGGCGGGAUCGGCGCGGGGCACGGGGGGUGGGGGCGGGGGGACGCCGGGCACUUCCUCCUCCCCGGGGCUCCCGGGGCUUCUCCGGGACGAGGAUUCCGGGUGGGGGUGGGGACCCCGCGCGGCUCCACCUCCGCCAGGCCCGGGGCCGCCGGCCGACGCUCGGUCUCGGAGGUGCUCGCCGCUGCCCCCUGCCCGGAGCCUGCGCGCCCCCUCCCCGGCGAUCCCACCCCCUUUCCUCCGCCCCGUCCCGUCCAGGCACCGCCCCUGACUUAACCCUUGCCCGGCGGGUCCGGCGGGCGAAGCGCAGGGAAUUGACAGGGAGAGGCGGGCUGUGGCGGGCGAGUGGGGGGAGCCUGGGAAGGGGGAGGAGAGAAGCGGGGACGGAAUGGGGAAAGGCUACAGAGGAGUACGCGGAGGACGGACGGAGGCAGGGUACGCGGAGAGGUGGGGGCUGGCGCUGAGGCAGGAACGGAAGAGGGGCGGGAGUCUACCCCAUCCCAGUUCCGGCUCCCGGCCUCCCAGUGAUUCGGUCAGUCCCCGGCCCGGCGCUGGAAGGGGAGAGGUGACGGGGCGGGGAGGAGGGGGUGGUCCCGGUGUCCUCCCCCUAACACACCCCCCACCCAGCCCGGGCCUCAUUUGCCUAAUGUAAUGCGGCUGAACUCUCGCUGAACUCGCCUGGCGGCGCCUCACCUCCGGGUGACCCACCCACCGCUGCCCGUGACAUCACCCGCUUGCCAGCCCGCUCGCGGGGCUCGCCCACCGGCCCCCGGCCCCCUCAGGCCAGGCCAGCGUCCCUGGAGCCGCGGAGAGUGGCCGCAGGAAGCGAGGGACCAGGGCGCGCGUGGCCAAGUGUUAGCGCCACGAAUGCAACGUGCAGCGUGUGCCGAGUGUCCCGGGUGUGACAUUGUGCAGCUCAGGCGUAGUGUCGGGAUGAGACACCCGGCUUGUGUCAUUGUCUGUGACAUCAUGUGUGACUCCGGCCGCCCGCCCGCCGGAACCCGACGCGGCAGCGCGUCUGCUUUGGCAUAAACGCUUGCAGAAGGGGCUCUCCUCCCCACGCUCUGCGUGCUUCCGGCGAGCAAAGCCCCGCCCAAGGUGUCUCCCAGCGGCGGAACCAGGAUUGGCCCCCCCACCGCGCAAUCCAGCCCCGGAGAGAUAAGAGGAGGGGCUGGUGCCUUCCAGCUGACCACUUCCUCCCGGAAGCCUUCGGGAUGCCAGUUUCAGUGGAAGAAAGGUCUAGGUUGGGUAGGUACGUGAAGGAGGGAGAUGCCCCUAGAGGAGAGGGUAUCCUGUUAACUCCCACUAACCCUGCAGCAGAACUCCCUCAUUCUAAAAAAGGAUGGGAACUGACAUGCUUCCCAAGGACACUCUUCUAGAAGUCAGGUUCUUAAUCUGGUCAUUAAAUCCUCACAGCAACUCCAAGAGAU